rnacentral:rRNA from 1 species
GACGAGGUGCACAAACGUUAUUCGGAAUUACUGGGCUUAAAGCGUGCGUAGGCGGCCUAGCAAGUCGGGUGUGAAAGCCCUCGGCUCAACCGAGGAAUUGCGCCCGAAACUGCUGGGCUUGAGUGAGACAGAGGUGAGCGGAACUGAUGGUGGAGCGGUGAAAUGCGUUGAUAUCAUCAGGAACACCGGUGGCGAAGGCGGCUCACUGGGUCUCUACUGACGCUGAGGUGCGAAAGCGUGGGGAGCAAACAGG